ensembl:lncRNA
GGGCACUGGCAUAGGCUACUUUUUACUUUCUCUUAUCGGUACAGGUAGCCUAGUCCUCAAGAGAAACGUCUUCAGUGUAAAAAUUGCCUCAGGGGUGCAUGAGUCAUUGAGCGAAUAAGAAGCAGCUGGUUUGAAACGAGAGAACCCCAGAAUUUGUGAAUAAAACACGUGGUUCGGGAGCUCGAACAUUUGAUUGGCUGGAUUUUGGUGCAGUCUGAUAGAAGUGUCAUUGUGACGGAAGGCUGCAGAACCGGGCCAUAGGAAUUCUGCGGGCGCAUUCCGCUCUGUCUCUAUGACAACGGCUAUAUUAGUAAAAGGGUCUGAUCCGGAUCGAGCGUGGGCUAAGAAACGCGAAUAUGGGUAUCUCGUACAACAACUGUCUCUAAAUAUGAAAACCGGACGCCCUAGAGAUCACUUAUUACCAAUAUAGUGCAUGUAAACGUAUAACAUCUCACCUAUCAGUAUUGAUGUGCAUAAAUGCCCUUCCUCUUGACAGUGAAGCAGUGAGGCUGCAGAUGAGCCGUAGCAACCACGGACGGAUGCAGCCGUAGGAAUGCGGUUGCCGUGGAAACGCCAGCAGCGGGAAGCGAGAUCCAGGGACCACAGAAAGGAUGAAGCCGACAAUUAAUAUUUAACACUGUUUCCUUUCUAUUUUUGCCAGAGAUGACUGUCAAACCUUUGGUGGGAAUGUGGGAUUAGUCGCUAGAGAAUGCCAUUAUAAAGAAGCCUGAAUACUAAUGAAUUCAGAAGGUAUGGGCGAGAAAGACAACAAGAGAGAGAGGGAGAUUCACUGGACAGAGAUUCACUUCCAACCUUUCAUGUUUCCACUGAAACACAAAUACAUGAAGGCCCAGGCUUCUUACCUGUAAACUAUGUUGUAGUAUUGCUACAGUUUUUGGCAGAUAACUGAAUAAUAGGCUAAAGGUACAAAUUGCUCCUUAUCAACUCAAUUGGACACAAGAUAACUCCCUUUUUUUUGCUUUAAACAAUAUCUAAU